rnacentral:tRNA from 1 species
GGAGAGGUCGCAUAGUGGCCUAGUGCAGCGGUUUACUAAACCGCCGUAUCGCAAGAUACCGAGAGUUCGAAUCUCUCCCUCUCCG